rnacentral:rRNA from 1 species
UACGUAGGGGGCUAGCGUUGUCCGGAAUCAUUGGGCGUAAAGAGCGUGUAGGCGGUCCGGUAAGUCCGCUGUGAAAGUCGGGGGCUCAACCCUCGAAUGCCGGUGGAUACUGUCGGGCUAGAGUGCGGAAGAGGCGAGUGGAAUUCCUGGUGUAGCGGUGAAAUGCGCAGAUAUCAGGAGGAACACCUAUUGCGAAGGCAGCUCGCUGGGACGUAACUGACGCUGAGACGCGAAAGCGU